GACGAACGCUGGCGGCGUGCUUAACACAUGCAAGUCGAGCGGGGAACUUCGGUUCCCAGCGGCGGACGGGUGAGUAACACGUGGGUAACCUGCCUUACAGUGGGGAAUAGCCUUCCGAAAGGAAGAUUAAUACCGCAUAAUACUCAGAGAUCACAUGAUCUUUGAGCCAAAGGAUUUAUUCGCUGUAAGAUGGACCCGCGGCGCAUUAGCUUGUUGGUGAGGUAACGGCUCACCAAGGCUUCGAUGCGUAGCCGACCUGAGAGGGUGAUCGGCCACAUUGGAACUGAGACACGGUCCAGACUCCUACGGGAGGCAGCAGUGGGGAAUAUUGCACAAUGGAGGAAACUCUGAUGCAGCAACGCCGCGUGAGUGAUGAAGGUCUUCGGAUCGUAAAACUCUGUCUUAUGGGACGAUAAUGACGGUACCAUAGGAGGAAGCCACGGCUAACUACGUGCCAGCCGCCGCCGUAA
rnacentral:rRNA from 1 species